rnacentral:lncRNA from 1 species
AUGACCUGCAGGUUUCUCUGCCCUCCAAACGGAAAAGUUUUAUUAAUUUCUCAGCUACCAGGGAGCCAUGGUUCCCACUGGCUGAGGCGCCUGCAAUGCCCCAAGACAAAGGUGGGGGAGAUGAAGACAAGUGGCAGUGGCGCUGACCCCCAGAGCAUCAAAUGUACCUUUUUUGCUUCUCUCUGAGGUUGGAGGUCCAACCAAGUGGUGGUGGGGCAGUACUCCCAUACUGUGGCCCGAGCUUUGUCAAAGACCUGAAGAAGGAGGUCCUCUCUUUGAUGUCAACCCUUGGUAUGUUUCUGGGACCAUAUAGGUUUGCAACUUUAAGUUAACAAUUUAGUGUUACUUGAUAAGAAAUAAGCAAAGAUUUAGUGCAUUAUUUAGUACAUUUUGAAAUUUAUCUUAUAGGAAGUGUAUUGAGCAUCUUCCUCCCCAAAAAAAGAACAGGUCAAUACACACAAAACACUGUCUUAUUCUACCUCAUCACAAACCCUGAACUGGCUCCCAGUUUGAAGUGGACCAUUGCAAAAUGUCCUUUGGUAUAUCUUCUUGUCUGUCAGCAUCCUUGCAGUUUCAGUCCAAUUCUGAAAGAAAGAAAGAAAAAGAAAUUGUCAGUCUGGCCAGGACAACAUAUAUGACUUAUUC